UACGGAGGGGGCUAGCGUUGUUCGGAAUUACUGGGCGUAAAGCGCGCGUAGGCGGCUUUGUAAGUUAGAGGUGAAAGCCCGGAGCUCAACUCCGGAACUGCCUUUAAAACUGCAUCGCUUGAAUCCAGGAGAGGUGAGUGGAAUUCCGAGUGUAGAGGUGAAAUUCGUAGAUAUUCGGAAGAACACCAGUGGCGAAGGGCGGCUCACUGGACUGGUAUUGACGCUGAGGUGGCGAAAGCGUGGGGAGCAAACAGG
rnacentral:rRNA from 1 species